UGAGGGGGGAAGGAGUGAAAGGAGUAAGAGGAGGCAUGAGAUAGAGUGAAUGAAAAAGGUAGAGAAAGAGAUGAAAUGGGGAUAUAUUGAGAGAGUGAGAAGGAACGUGAAAGAGUAAGAAACCAUUCAGAUGGUAACAUUAUUAGAGAAAGAAAUGGAGGAGUUUGAGAUAGAGAAAGUACAGGAGCACAUCAGUGAAAGGACAAAGAUUAGUAGUUUUGUUGUCAUGGGAACAUUUUAUGCCUUGCUGUGGGCGGAGUGACCGCAUCCAAUUGGCUUCCCCAGCAUUUUCAUCCAAGAUCUGUAUCGUG